rnacentral:rRNA from 1 species
GAUGAACGCUGGCGGCGUGCUUAACACAUGCAAGUCGAACGGAAAGGCUCCUGCUUGCAGGGGUACUCGAGUGGCGAACGGGUGAGUAACACGUGGGUGAUCUGCCCUGUACUUCGGGAUAAGCUUGGGAAACUGGGUCUAAUACCGGAUAGGACAACUUUUUGGAUAUUGUUGUGGAAAGCUUUUGCGGUAUGGGAUGAGCUCGCGGCCUAUCAGCUUGUUGGUGGGGUAAUGGCCUACCAAGGCGUCGACGGGUAGCCGGCCUGAGAGGGUGUACGGCCACAUUGGGACUGAGAUACGGCCCAGACUCCUGCGGGAGGCAGCAGUGGGGAAUAUUGCACAAUGGGCGCAAGCCUGAUGCAGCGACGCCGCGUGGGGGAUGAAGGCCUUCGGGUUGUAAACUCCUUUCGCUAGGGACGAAGCUUUUUUGUGACGGUACCUGGAGAAGAAGCACCGGCUAACUACGUG